GUUCGGUCUUUCGUAACUCGUGACUUAUAAUGAUUGGCAAAAAUGAUGAAUUAUAUUUUUCAAAUUUUUCCUCAGGGUAUGUUAUAAUUUUGUACUACUUAUUCUUAGAUCAGUUACUAUAAUCAUUUGUAUUUGUGUUUCGAACUUGCCACUUUAUAAUAGCGUUUCGUAUAUCAUGAUCGAUGUAUUCAUGGAGUAAAACAUAUUAGUCCGAAUAGCUUGAUUGAUGUCUCUUGUGUCCAUAUCACAUUACUAUUACAAGGAUUGAUGUACAUUUUAAACCUAAUAUACUACGUAGCUGUAGAUAUUAAUAAAUAGUUUGUGAUUUUAUAAGAAUUGUUCAUUAAAUCAUAAACGGAGAGGUAAUGAAAUAAAUACUACCAUCAAUUGAAUAUAGCAAGAACUUUAUAAAAGACGAGGCAGACUCACAGAUGGUUUAAGUAUAUUAGUAUAUGUCUCAAAACUCUGAGAAACGUAUGACGGUUUUGUAUUCGCAUUUUUUAAAUUUUUUUUAAAAUUUUUUUUUUUCUUUCAAAUAGAUCACACAUGAAAAAAAGUUGUUGCAUAAAGAGAUGUGUUUAUACGUGCGUAAAAAGUACGAACAUACAUCAAUUGAAAAAGAGUUGUUAGUCAAGGAUAGAAGCUGAAAAAGGAAACGCUCGACUAGAUUUGAUAAACUCCCUCUUGUUAUGUUAUAUUAUGAAUUGUCGAAAUUAACAUAUUUCUCUUCUUAUCUAACCUUAACGACCAAAACUCAUUGACGUUAUCGUAAAAAAUAUACAUAUAUGUUCAUAGUCAUCGAUCGUUUGCAAAUUAUUUAUUACUUAUCGUUUAUCAGUUAUUAUUAUAUUUUAGAAAAAUAAUUAUUUAUUUCUAAUUAUACAAGAGAAAGCAUAACAAUAAAGCAUGAGAAUAUUGGUAAUAUUGUAACGAAAGAGGGAGUUUUAUUAUUAAGAAAAAACGUGACUUUCGCUCCUAUUGGAGGAGUAUCGGGAAAAAUGUACAACGAGGAAAAUUAUUUCAAAUAAAGUAAUUUGCUUCGCAAGCGAUUGUAGUUUUGUAAAUUAAUGUGUGAAUUGUUUUUAUCGCGAAAAUGACAAGGAAAUUGAUAUUAUUUUAUGAUAUCAUCGUCCAUCAGCGCGAUAUGACGUGAAACUUCAGAAUAGAACUUCGAUAGAAUAUCGAAUGAAAAAUCGAUUUUCAGUGUUUCGAUUUUUACCAUGAUCUUCGAUACUUAUAUUAGUUAAGUCGGGUUAUGGAGCGUUGAUAUUUGUGAAUACAUUUGACAGAAUAAAAAAAAAAAGAAAAAAAAUUAGUACGAUUUUGAAAGAUUUGAGAAAUAAGGAUAUAGAUAAGAAAAUAUUUUUAAAAUAAAAUUAAUAAAUUUUAAAAAUAAGAAAAUAAAAAAAAGAACAAAAAAGAGCAAGAAUAGUGUGACCUAAACGGAAAAAAAAAUGCAUAUUCAUUUCAAAUAGUUAUCAAAUAUCAUAAAUCUUGAAAACCGAUAACCUAGAAACAGGUACAAUAUUAACGUCCUUCCUCUCCUCUGAAUCCCGACGCUUUUGAAAAGAGUUACAGACGCGGAAUAUCGAUAGACAAAAAUUAAUUAUGCGACGUUGGAGUGGGGAAGAGCAAUAUCGGAUGGAAUUCACGGAACGAACGGGUGAGAGGCCGAUGUCCGAUAUUUACAUAGCUUGAAUAAAAGUUUGGGGUACCGUCCUUUUAUUCGUCUUUUUCAUCACUUAAAACUUUUCAACUCUUAUAACUCUCAAUUUCGUUUAAAUAUUCAAAAUAAUAUAUAAGAAUAAUCCAAAAAAUAUUUCUACAGGAAAUAGGAGCCGAUUUUUCGAAUUCAUCGAUUCGUCAAUGGAUCGUUCAAUAUCACAUAUCGAUUUCCAAAGAUCAAUUGAUAGAUGAUGACGCAAAAGAAUCGGAAAUUUAAUAAAACAAUUUUAUUCUGAAGAAAGAGGUUAUGAAUGAUGGAAAAGAAAAUAUAUAAAUGCUUGAGAAAUAUGAUGGUAAGAGAUGGAAUCAAGAAUCAAGUCGGAGAGAGAGAGAGAGAAAGAGAGAGAGAAAGAGAGGAAUGAAGCUCCUUGACCCGACUGAUUUGAUAAAUUCCAAGCAUUUCUGCCAUUCUAUAGCAUAGUUAUAUGUGUAAAUAUGUAUUCCGCUUGGUGUUCUACGUUUCUUAGCGAUGAUACCCGCACCCGGCCCUCGCGAGAAUGAGUUUAAUUGACUGAAAUGCCGAGUCGAAUUGCGGGCACGUUGAAGCAUGUAUGGAAGUUCGUUAAUAUCGACGAUAUGUGGGAGAUAAGACGGAUUGAUUUGAUAAUUUUUUACGAUAUUUUAAAUCUCAAUAUCCAAUUAAUUCUCAUUUGGUUUAUACAUAUUUUUCGAAUUUGAUAUCUUAUUUACGUAAUAACCUAACUUUUUAAUGCAAUCAAACGAAUUGGAUUUUUUUGGAAUAUGCACGACACGUGAAUGAGAUUUCUAAGAUUAUUAAGAAAUAAAAAUAAAAAGAUAUGGAAAAUCUAGCGUGUGAAUAAACGUAACUAUAGAAUGUUUCGGAAUAUCAGAUGUCGAGGCUUUUGAAAAUUGAAUACCACUUGAACUAACUGAAAUGCUUGCGCUAUUGCUAUUCUAGAUAUCCAAAACAUCCAGAUAUUAGAUACCUUACGUAUCCCAAAUAUUGAAUAGAAUAUUUCAUGUUUCAGAUAUUCGAAUUCCGUUUCUUUUAAGGUAUGUACACGUAUUUGACACACAGUAUAUGACUAUCAUUUAGUUUAUCAUAUUUCUUAUGGUAGAAAUAUUCGAUUGAACAUUAAUAAAUUCUCCCAGGUAUCGUGUGACAUUUAUCCGUGGCGUCGCAGCAUUAACUAGAACGCGCCAAAGCGGAAAUCGCUGGUUUAUCGCGCUGACAGACGCGGGGAUUUAAUCGUUCGAUCGGAUUAGAUGCGAUUGUCAGAGCUACUGUCACGCCUGUCGCAAGCGUUUCGAUAGAAAAUUGAAAACCGUGAAACAGGAGAGUUUAGACUGGCAAGGAGGGACACACGGGAGAUUCCUGUAAACGGUUCGGUUUCUUUAAUACAUUGUUCGCUUUUGUGCGGACGCAAACGUUGCGAUCGAUAAAAUCUGACAAAUUACACAACAAUACAAUGACAUUAGAUACGAUCGGUCUCUUGUCGCCGAUAAAAAAAACUCCUCCAACUUGGGUCUGGUCAAACGCUGCUUGAAACGAAACGCGAUCGUUUUGAUUUUGCAUUGCAGUGGUUUUUUCCAUUUCUUUUCCUUUUUUUCUUCUUCUUUUUUUUUUUUUAAUGCUUUUGUAUUUUUAAGCAAUUUCUAGACUAGAACCAAGUUCGAGGAUUGUUGGCCGUUAGGCGGGAGAUUUGACAAGCUUCGAGGACGCAUCGACGUCGACGAUUCCCGUCGGUGGUCCUAUAGUAAUAUACACAUGACUGUAUAUUAGAUAAGAAAACUUUGAAUCGAGGAUAUUGAACGAGAGCGUUGCACGAGAGACUGCUUCUCCUAUUUUUUUCUUCUCUAUUACAUUUACAGAAAUGUGUUACACAUGUAUAUUAUGAUGAUCCUCGGCCUUCAUAAGCAUAGGGAAAUCGUCGAAGAUCGCAAGAUCGUAUUUUUUUUUUUCAUCGUUUCGUUAGUUUCUUUCUUCCUUUUUUUAAUCUGACACGUUCGAAGUUUUCUCCAAUUUUUUUUUUUUUUUGCUAACUCGAACAUUCUUUAUUGCAGGUUCUUUGCGUCAGCGUGAAAUGAUGAAGAAAAAAAAGUACGGAUAAACGUAAUCUUGACAGGUUUACGAAUUUAAGUUAAGGCGCUAUAUUAAAAUGGAAAUAAGAUUUGGUAAGAAUCUCUUUGGUCGUCUGGGAUAAAUUUUUGCUGAUUCGAAAACAAGCAUUUUUUAUAAUGGCUACGAUUCACAAUAGAUACAAAAUGACGCAAAAAGAACAAAGGUAAUUACCAGCCAAACGAGUUUGUUUAUUGCUUUUAUCUUCGCCAAUCAUAUCACGUGUUUUGUUAUCGUUUAAGCCUGAAAGCCAUGAAAAAAGAGAUAGAAUAUUAGUGGGAAUAAGUAGAACGUAAUUUUAACGCGAUUAACGUUCAAGCGAAAAUUAUGCUGGAAAUUAGAGCACACGAUAUGGCAGAUAUGUUAUCAGAAAUUAUAACAUAUAUUGCGCUAAAACUAAAAAGAAACUAGGAAAUAUGGUUGCAGUUAAGAGAUACGAUAAUGCGAAUUAUAUGACGAAGAUUACGCGAAAUUUAUAGUGAAUUUAACAACAGGUAUCGUCGAGUUAAUGUCUAAUUGAAGAGUAUAAUUAUUCUUUUUAUCGUUGAAACGAAACGAUGACGCUCGAUCGUGCGAUUCGCUUGAAAUCCUUCUCCGCUUCGCUUCAUACUAUAGGCACAACUCUCUUUUAUUUAAUUUUCAUUCUUAAAUCAUCAACAGUUUAGUACAGUUAUAAUAUGUACAAAGUAUACAGACUCCGCUACUUCAGAGGAGGGACACAACUUUCAUGCGAUGUAUCGUCUUUUCUCGAAUGAAUUGCUGCUUCCAGUUAAAAGCACCGGUUCGAAUUUCGCGGAUCUUGCCAUUUCUCCUUGCUUAUUAAAAAAUUGUCUCGAAUGACUCUAUCGAAGUGGAAACGAAAGAACAAGCCUUUGAGAAAACGAUCUAAAUUUUUCUUUCAAAAUUAUCUCAUAUUUUUUUCAUAAAUAUAACUUAUAUAUUUCAGAAUCUGUUUUAUCAAGAUCGAACGAAUAGUUCGAAGAGCAGAGUCAAGGAUAGAAUCGGACAGCAGGGAUGUAUCGACAUGAAAAAUCCAAGUAAUUUUCGUAUUCAUGAAAAUUAAGGAAGAAAUGAAAAGACAUUGCAUUUGGGGAGGAACGCCAUCAGCUUUCUCAUCGGUGCUUUUAAUCAGGUAUUGGGGGAGGGUCGACGAGUUUCGUGUGUACAAGCAAACCCGAUUCAACUACGGACACACGUGCGUGGCACACGACGAUUCAUGCUGGACUGUUAGACGUAAUAUCUAACGUGUGAACUAACUGGUGUAUCGAUCGUCUUGCUACUGAUGCGAUGUAUACUGAUGCAAGACGUGCACAUCGUAAGUACAUGUGUUUCAGUAUAUAUAUAUCGGUUAUUUGAAACUAUAAUUACACGAGGGAUGGAGGAAAGAACAGGAUACGAAGCUUUCAAAUGGGACAUCAUAUCGGCAUCAAGAUAGAAAAGAUAAGGAGAAACAGUUUCACGAAUCGGUUGUAGAAUUCUCACCGUUUCCAAGAAAAUCAAUAUGAAAGUAGAUGCACUACCAGGAUGUAGAUACAAUCUGGUUGAAUUGUCUCUACGUUUUCUUGUCUCUACACACAGAUAUAUACUUUGAGCCGGAGGGGAAGAUGAAAAGUACUGAUUUGCGAACUACUUUAAAUGGUAGGAAAGGGAGAAUAAGGGUGGAACAAGACAGUGGAAAGGAAAGUUUGCAGAGAAGAGAUAUUUAUAUCUGUCUCGGUUUGUAUGACCAGCUUUGUCCAGUAUCUGUUCUUCCCUAAAGGACAGUAUUGAAAUUGGGACAUACUGUUUCAGGAGUUAGCGAAUAUUCUUUGAGAAUAAGGGACACGGAGGUAAGAAGAACAGAGGAGAGUCAGUUUUAAAGAUAAAAAAAUCUAAAGAUGAAGAAAUUGAAAAGUCGCAGAGAAGGAAUUGGACAGGGAAAUUUUUAUAUUUAUUUUCAGCAAAAUAUUCUUGACUGUCGUCCCAUUUGAAAAUUGUUAUAGGAGAAAAGGGUAAAAGAAAGAUCGAUGGAAAAUGGCGGAUGAUAUGAAAGGAAAAUAGACGAUAAACGCGGGAUGCAAAAAUUGAAAAAAAGUGCAAUAUCGUCGAAGACCUCGCACGUAUGACGCUAUAUUGGUACAGGUACAGUAGAACGUGGCCAAAGUGGUUGGAGAAACAAGUGUAUAUUUUCGACGAGCAAUAAACGGAUAUUUCUUCGAUC